UACAGAGGUGGCAAGCGUUGUUCGGAAUUACUGGGCGUAAAGGGCGCGUAGGCGGUUCGAUAAGUCCUGUGUGAAAUCCCUCGGCUCAACUGAGGAACUGCACGGGAGACUGUCGGGCUUGAGUUCGGGAGAGGGAAGCGGAAUUCCGGGUGUAGCGGUGAAAUGCGUAGAUAUCCGGAGGAACACCGGUGGCGAAGGCGGCUUCCUGGACCGACACUGACGCUGAGACGCGAAAGCGUGGGGAGCAAACAGG
rnacentral:rRNA from 1 species